rnacentral:misc_RNA from 1 species
UCUCCGUUGGUGAACCAGCGGAGGGAUCAUUACCGAGUUAUUCCACUCCCAAACCCCUGUGAACUUAUACCUUUACUGUUGCUUCGGCGGGUUAACGCCCCGGAAGGCCCGCGAGGGCCGCCGGAACCAGGCGCCCGCCGGGGGACCCAAACUCUUGUAUCUUUUUUAUAGCAUGUCUGAGUGGAAUCAUAAACAAAUGAAUCAAAACUUUCAACAACGGAUCUCUUGGUUCUU